UAUAACAUAAGAAUCAAACAGAUUAGGAGCUAAUAAUAUUCAAAAUUGGCAUUGUGCAUGUUUGUUGAAAUAUGAGUCUGUCAACUACUAAACUUCAAUUUCAACUGAUAUAUAAGGGACUGCUUCGGACAAAAAGUAUAUUAUAGGGAUUAAAACAUCAACACCGUUCAAUAAAAGAGCUUAAAGACGUCAACAUUGACGCAUUUCAAUAACAGUCAAAUGAUUUACGAUUUACUUCAAAAUUUACAGAGAUGGUGAUUUAAUGAUUUCAUCACAAACUUUCAAUCAAAAGGUUAGCUUUGUAAAACGAAAAGUAUAUUUAAACUCUUUUUUCUCAAUCUACCAUAUGUCAGAGACGAAAACUCUCAUAUCAGAAAUUUUUCAUAAAUACACACUGAAUUUGAAAUGCACUCAACAUAUUACUAACUCGAGCAAAAUCUGUAGUUUAUAAUCAAAUUGACUAAAGGUGGGCUAAUGAAUUUGAAAUGCACUCAACAUAUUAUUAACUCGAGCAAAAUCUGUAGUUUAUAAUCAAAUUGACUAAAGGUGAGCUAAUGAAUACUGUGUUGGUGAGUAAGAAGUAAAAUAAGCAACUAUGUGCAAAGAGUGAAUGCAUUAACACCAUUUCUGAUCAAAUCAAUAUACCAGAAAACCAUGUACAAAGGAAUUUGCAUGGUACAAAGAAGUAGAUGAUUUUUC
rnacentral:lncRNA from 1 species